ACUGAAUAGAUACCCUGGUAGUCCUGGCAGUAAACGGUGCGCGUUUGGUGUGGGAGGAUUCGACCCCUUCUGUGCCGGAGCUAAACGCGUUAAACGCGCCGCCUGGGGAGUACGGUCGCAAGAUUAAAACUCAAAGAAAUUGACGGGGGCCCGCACAAGCGGUGGAGUAUGUGGCUUAAUUCGAUGCAACGCGAAGAACCUUACCUAGCCUUGACAUGCAUCUCUAAGUCGGUGAAAGCCGGCGACCAUAGCAAUAUGGAAUUUGCACAGGUGCUGCAUGGCUGUCGUCAGCUCGUGUCGUGAGAUGUUGGGUUUAAGUCCCGCAACGAGCGCAACCCCUGUGAACUGUUGCCACCACACUACGGUGUGAGCACUCUGUUCAGACUGCCCUGUGAAACGGGGAGGAAGGUGGGGAUGACGUCAAGUCAGCAUGGCCCUUACGGCUAGGGCUGCACACGUACUACAAUGCUCAGUACAGAACGACCGAAACCGCGAGGUGAGGAAAUCCCGAAAACUGAGCUCAAUUC
rnacentral:rRNA from 1 species